rnacentral:tRNA from 1 species
GAGUUAUUAACUUAAUUGGUAAAGGCCCUCCUUGUCGAGGAAGUAGAUGUCGGUUCGAAUCCGACCUAACUCG